CCCGGUUCCUCUUCUUCCAUUUACCACUGAGCUACACCCCUAGCCCUUUUCUAUUUUUUUAUUUUGACACAGGGUCUUGCAAAGUUUCCCAGGCUGGCCUUGAACUGUCCACCCUCCUGCCUCAGCAUUCCAAAUCACUGGGAUUAUAGGAGUGGGCCACAGUACCCAGCCAUGCUGAUAUUUUUUAUUAAAUAAAAUCAUCACACUAUAGUUUUGGGGGGCAUUGCUUCCAUCUAUGAAUUACUGCUCCCUAGGCACUGAAAAAUCUUUGUGAAUGUGUGUUCAGGGGAUGUAAAAGCCCUACUACUUUCCACUUUCCAAAGGAAGAUGCUUUUCUUCCAUUCUCCAGGCCCACCAUGAUCCUCAGGUGAUCAUACAUUCACAAGCAUCCGCAUGCGCACACGCACACACAAUAAACCAAGAAAGGAAGGCAAGAUCAGUAAUGAGAGCCCACUAAUGGAUUGGCUUAAGUAUAGAACAACAGCCCAUCACGGUUCUAGAAAAUAAUCAAUCAAGCACUUAAUUUUAAACAUAAAAGUAAGCUGCCAGGAGACUGUUAAUAGAUAACCAAAUAAAUUAACAGUUGUAGGUGGGAUUUGAAACCAGGUCAGAUUUUUCACCAAGCUCUGAGCCCCAUGCAUAUAAAGGGCCCCUCCAGCUUGGUACUUGAUCUCACACUGUUUCAAAGUGGGAAAUCUCCUUUUAGCCAAUAUCCCUUCUCAGCGGGCUCAUCACUUCAGGGAAUUGUCCUUUGUGCGUCUUCCAUAAAAUUUAUAACACCACUACUUUAAAAUAUUGAUGGGCAGCUUGGCCUUGGCCCAGGCCCGCAGUGGGUUAGUGUGGACAUGAAAACCUUCAGGAGGGCAGAAACAGGAAGGAACACAUUCCCUGCUGACCUUCCGUAAAGGGACAAUGUGUAAGUGCCGUGGUCACCUGGGCUGAGGCCUGCCUGGCUUUGAUGGACGGCUCAGCCCUCCAGGAACCAGCUCAGGGGCACAGACACUCAGGCAAGGCUAAGGGGACAGCAGGGUAAGUGAAAGGCAUGCAUAAUCCUCCAGAUUGUUCUAACUUGAAACUCAACUUUCUCCAGGCAUUCAAAAUCUUUCCAAAGUUACUGAAGAAUAAAGAUAAACAGCAUUCGGGUCUGUCUUUUGUCUCUGCCUAUGAAAUUAUCAAGACAAGUGAGACCAAAAGUAAGCAACAAUAAGGAACAUAAAGAACAAGACAAGAGAACUGAUCCCUAGAUUCCUGGAGACUGUCAGCACUCUGGUUUAUAUUCAUUCUGCCAUCACGCUCUUCUCAUAAUGCAAAAAAAGAAAAAUCCCAAAACACUGCAGAAUGUCACCACCUAGAAUAGUUACCACUGAGA
rnacentral:lncRNA from 1 species